UUUUUAAUAACCGUCCAUUUGCCCCGAUCUAACGGUGAUAAUUAGACGGAACCAAACUGACGGAACCAAAAUUACGGGACCGGAACCAAAUUCGGUGGGACCGGAAUCUCAAAUAUUAUUUGAGAAUAUUAUAAAAUACAAACGUCCUUUUAAGCGGUCAAAUCAGAUGAUGAUACUACAUAAAUCUUAAAGCAACAAAAAAUUGAUCAUAUAAGCUCGUACUGUUCUCGCCAAAAAUUUAAUACUAACUCACCGGCCAAAUCUCCCACUCUCUCAUCCUCUCCGUCUCUCAUCUCUCACUCUCGCUGGAUGUGGUCUGCCCCAGCGACGGAGGAGAGGGCACGGGCCUCCCGACGAGCCGCGCGACGAAGGGGAGGGGGCACGUCGGAGGGGAGUGGAAGGGGACAGAGAGGAGGGGGCCGCGUUGGAGGGAAGAGGAAGGCGACAUAGAGGAGGGGAAGAUGACGGACCAGUCCCGGCGACGGAGGGGAGGGGACGGCGACGAACUGAAGCGUCUGAGGCGGCGUCCACAGUGGUCUCUCCCGUCGAUCUCCGCGACGGAGGGCAACGCGGGGUGGAGGGGACAGCGGAGGCACCCGGCGAGGGGAGGAGCGGCGGCGUUGGUCGAAGCCAACGAGGGGAGGAGCGGCGGCUGCGGCGUUUGUCGAGACCAGCGAGGGGAGGAGCAGCGGCUGCGGCGUUGGAUAUGGCCGGCGAGGGGAGGAGCAGUGGCGGCGGUGGACAUUAAUAUCAUGUAAGUUACAGCUCCUUGUAAGUUUGUCCCGUCUUGCUGAAGCUCUAUUUUUCAGAACAUCCUUUCUGCAACCAAUGAUGAAAGCUUGCAAGUGCAGCGGGAAAUAAUACCAAUCAACAGCAGAUGGUGAUAAGUCACUACUAACCCUGUUGUUCCCAGGUGAACACAGCAGGAACAUCUAUUGCAUUGGCAGAAGAAUCACCGGAUGUUGGUACGUUAGUGUUUGCUGGCUAAAGAACAUCUAUUGAAUUCCCUAGCAGGAAAGUUCUAGGCCCAUCACUUUGUACAAAAAAUUAAUGCAAUACAUGUCUAGAUGAUCAUGUUCUUUUUCUCAAACUCUCAGUUAACGUUUGCUGGCUUUAAUUUAGAUAUGCAAAUGAGGGCAACUUUUCUUGUUUAGUACCCUGUUUCCGAGGGAUGAGGCGCUGUUGGCUAUUUGCUGGUGGCGAAGAGUGCGCAAUCGUCGCGACUCGCAUGUGCUGGAUCAAUGGCGCUUGACAACAGCGAGGUGUAGAUGGUGACAUGCACAUCAGAGUCGAGUAGUGUUGACGCGAGGCGGCAGCAAGUACGGGCGAGUCAGUACUAUGAGUCACUUCUGCUAGAAGCCAAAGCGAAGAAUGAGCGAGAAGUUCUACUGGUACUGCGAAAGAUGUGGGCAUUAAACUCCAAUAGUUACAGACAAAGAUUGAUAGUUGACUAAACUUCCAUCAUUAUCUGAGAAAGUUGUAUAGUUAUAUAGAUCAAAGGGGGCUAUGUACUAUAAAUACACUAUUAGAGGUAGGGAAAAGGCUAAAUUCGCCGGAUGAGCGUAGAUGAUAACAAAUUUUGGAAUUUGUUCCGAUGAAUGGUGACAACAUCAGUACCUCGUGAUCUUCCGAUGCCUAGUUAUCAAAAGGAUUGAACGAUUUAACG